rnacentral:lncRNA from 10 species
CCGUAACCCUCCUUUCCUCUUUUUGCCGCAGUCUCCGUCUCUCUUCCACAGGGUCUCUCCCUCCCCCUCUCCCCGUGGUUGUCAGACUUUCUCCUGGACUUUCUCCGCCCCGCACCGCCCGCCCCGGAUGCCGAGCGUGGUAGACUCUGCAGCCGGGCUCCUCGCUGCCCGCUGGCGCUGCCUACACCCCCUUGGGCUCCCCUCCAAGGUCCCCUCCGCUCGCCCCUCUCUGCCCGCUGCCGCCGCCGCCGCCGCCUUCCAGGCCUCUCUCCACCCUCUGUCUCUUUCUGCCUGGGUUCUUCCUUUGGGCCGUCUACCCUCGGGUUUCAGGUUGGGCAUUGCUCCCGCACCCUACUAAUUGGGGCUCUUCUGGACCGAUCCAACCAGCGAAGUCGAAUUUGGCUCGUGUCCUUCUCUCCCUUUUUUGCGAAGCUGCAGACACUGCUUGCUGGCCCUCCGGCUCUGCCGGGACUUCCCUGGUUCUAGGUGGCGGUGGGUCUGUGGCUAAGUUUGAAUCCCAGCCCUGGGCCUCACCAUGCUCUAAAAUUGGCUGCUUCCCGGAACAGAAACGGCAGGAGUUGGCAUCAGAAUGCAGCAACUUGAUUCCUGGCUACUUACCAGUUCCGUGACCUGAGGGUCCAGCACAUGGUAUGUGCACAGACAUGUUGUUUGAAUGAAUGAAGAUUUUCCCACCUGGGUCUGCUGCCUCCUUCAUGUUUUACCACCUGGUGUCACUUCAGAUUCUGAAACUAUCUGUGGCUCAUCUACUUAGGGAGGACACUGAUGUGGACAUUGCAGAAUAUCAGCUCCAGUUUGAUAAGGUGGUGCACAAUGAUGAGAGAGAGGACUUUGAGGGUUUUCUUCCUAGGUGCUCAAGUAGCUAAAAAAUAAAUAAAUAAAAAAAUAGAAUACAAUAAAAAACAAGCAGUGGUGGGAAUUACAGAUUAGCUAUAGAAGGAAAGAUUACCAAAUUCCGUUGGGGUGUGGCUGCUAGUGGUCUUUAAAACACUGAAGGCAGGCUUGUCUCAGGUCCCAAGUAUAUUGCAAAUGAGCCAGCACUAAAUAAACCUUGAAACCUGAUGGCUCCAUUCUCUCUCUUGGAAUCUAUCAAUUUUAUAUACAUGAUAAGCAUAUUUAUUGAUUGAUAAAGGCUUAGCAGAGAAGCCUGAAAUAGGACUGGCUUCCUUGGCCUCCAAGAGGCAGUUUCCUUCUAUCACAAAACAUGUUUAAAGCUCUUUAAUUUUGAAGGUCCUUGGAGUCUUAAAUUGUUCCCCACCUCCCACACACAUACACUUUCGGCAAUACCCCCAAUACCAGAAACCCAGACAAUACCUAUCCAUGUAUGACACCUGAGUUAUUGACUAUAUGUGGCAAUUGUUUAAUUCUAGGUUCACUUUCUCUUGCCGUCCAGUGCUCUUGGAAAACAUCUCUAUUAUCAGUUAACAUGUGAGUCUCCAGAAGGCAGACUCAUUUCAAUCUUAGUUUAAGCAAAAUCAUGUGGAAAAUCCAAUUUCCUUUAAAAAGUAUAUUCCAAG